UGCCAGCCGCCGCGGUAAUACGGAGGGUGCAAGCGUUAAUCGGAAUUACUGGGCGUAAAGCGCGCGUAGGUGGAUAUUUAAGCGAGAUGUGAAAUCCCGGGGCUUAACCUCGGCACUGCAUUUCGAACUGGAUAUCUCGAGUACGGGAGAGGGUAGUAGAAUUUCAGGUGUAGCGGUGAAAUGCGUAGAGAUCUGAAGGAAUACCGGUGGCGAAGGCGGCUACCUGGCCCGAUACUGACACUGAGGUGCGAAAGCGUGGGGAGCAAACAGGAUUAGAUA
rnacentral:rRNA from 1 species